UGAGAGCUUGCUUUUGAUUAUUUUAGCGGCGGACGGGUGAGUAACGUGUGGGUAACCUGCCUUUUACUGUGGAAUAAUCGUUGGAAACGACGACUAAUACCGCAUACGGUUCUUGGAAGGCAUCUUCUAAGAAAGAAAGGAUUUAUUCGGUAAAAGAUGGGCCCGCAUCUGAUUAGCUAGUUGGUGAGAUAAUAGCCCACCAAGGCAACGAUCAGUAGCCGACCUGAGAGGGUGACCGGCCACAUUGGGACUGAGACACGGCCCAAACUCCUACGGGAGGCAGCAGUGGGGAGUAUUGCACAAUGGGCGAAAGCCUGAUGCAGCAACGCCGCGUGAAGGAAGACGGUUUUCGGAUUGUAAACUUCUAUCAAUAGGGAAGAAAGAAAUGACGGUACCUAAAUAAGAAGCCCCGGCUAACUACGUGCCAGCAGCCGCGGUAAUACGUAGGGGGCAAGCGUUAUCCGGAAUUACUGGGUGUAAAGGGAGAGUAGGCGGCAAGGUAAGCGAUAUGUGAAAGCCUUAGGCUUAACCAAAGGAUUGCAUAACGAACUAUCUAGCUAGAGUACAGGAGAGGAAAGCGGAAUUCCUAGUGUAGCGGUGAAAUGCGUAGAUAUUAGGAAGAACACCAGUGGCGAAGGCGGCUUUCUGGACUGAAACUGACGCUGAGGCUCGAAAGCGUGGGGAGCGAACAGGAUUAGAUACCCUGGUAGUCCACGCUGUAAACGAUGAGUGCUAGGUGUCGGGGAGGAAUUCCCGGUGCCGGAGCAAACGCAAUAAGCACUCCACCUGGGGAGUACGACCGCAAGGUUGAAACUCAAAGGAAUUGACGGGGGCCCGCACAAGCGGUGGAGCAUGUGGUUUAAUUCGAAGCAACGCGAAGAACCUUACCAAGGC
rnacentral:rRNA from 1 species